rnacentral:rRNA from 1 species
GACGAACGCUGGCGGCGUGCUUAACACAUGCAAGUCGAGCGGUAGGGCCCUUUCGGGGGUACACGAGCGGCGAACGGGUGAGUAACACGUGGGUGACCUGCCCUCAGCUCUGGGAUAAGCCUGGGAAACCGGGUCUAAUACCGGAUAUGACUCCAUGACGCAUGUUGUGGGGUGGAAAGCCUUGUGCGGCUGAGGAUGGGCCCGCGGCCUAUCAGCUUGUUGGUGGGGUGAUGGCCUACCAAGGCGACGACGGGUAGCCGGCCUGAGAGGGCGACCGGCCACACUGGGACUGAGACACGGCCCAGACUCCUACGGGAGGCAGCAGUGGGGAAUCUUGCGCAAUGGGCGAAAGCCUGACGCAGCGACGCCGCGUGA